CUUUCUAUUUGGUUCUAUUUUUUAGUCAUGAAGUUAAGUAGUAUCGUGGGAUAUUUGAAGUUCUUGGGUACUGAAAAUUCAAGAAGUUUUAAACUCUGGUUAUCUUAUUUUGGCUGGAAAAAUAGAGGAAAGUUCUGAGCAUACCAUCAAAAUAUAAUAUGGUUUAUUCCUUCAGUAAGGUCCAAUCCCCACGAAAUUAAAGGAACCCUAUCUUUCACAAAUGGCAUGAGCAUUAGCCAAAUGUUAUGUUCUUGUAAAGCAGAAAAUAGUGGAAAAUGUAAACAUGUCUCUACUCUUGUUAAAUGUAAGUAUAAGGGAAAAUGUGAAAUUAAUGGAACAUUCAGUACAUGAGUUGAAAAAAUGUUAACAGAUUGGCAAAUGAAGACCAUUUUUAAUUGAUCUAAACAUUUAUAGAAACAAAGUAUAUGGUUAAUAUAAAUAUUACCUGCCUGAAGUAACUUGGUGUACAAAUCAAUAGUAACCAUAAUUUUUAUUCCCAGGGCCAGUGAGAAACAAUGUGCAUUUGAUUUCUAAGUGUUCUAAGGAAAGAUCUUGUAAGAAUAAAUAGAUCUGUACAAUGAAGAUUAACCUAAUCUGUUUAACCAUCGAAAUUAUUGUAUUGUUAUAAAAAUAAUAAAUCUCCAUUUCAUAUUAUUUACACUUACAUACAUUAACCUGGAAUUUCAUUGUGUCUACAUUAGUGGCCAUAGUCACAAACCUACCCUAGUCAACGGAGGUACUGUCUUUCUCAGAUGUGGUAAUACAGGGUUUGAUACAUUAUUGCUAAAUAAACUUUGUGAAUAGUAACUUUUCACAAAAUAGACAAAAUAGAGUUUUAAUAGUUUUUACUGUACUUAAAUAUUUUUUACAUUCAGUGGUAAUAACAUAUUUUAUUUUGUUUUGGUAUUUAAAUUUACCUAAAUAUUUAUAGAAAUAUACUAUACUAAAUUCAAGAUGCAGUACAAAUAAACAAACCAAGACACUUUAAAUGCUACUGUGAGCACUCCCGAAUCAUAAUUUACAAUGUAUAUACAUUGUAAAUCCCAAAUCAUGAUUUCCAAAGUUUGUACAUUGUGAAUUAUGAUUCGGGAAUGCUCCUAAUAGUAACAUUUAACUUGUCUUGGUUUGUUUAUUUCUACUGCAUCUUAAUUUUAAAUUUAGUGUAGAUGUGGCCAUCAUAGGACGCUUACUUAUAGAUGCAAUAAAAUUAUUGGUUUAUUUUCAUUUUAAAUGUUAUACUUCCAGUAUUGUAUGUAUUACCUAGUAUUAAAACAUAUAUUUUUAAUUAAAAAUAUAAAUAUCUUAUUUUUAUAAUGAACAACAUUAAAUCUACUUCUUGCGGGAGUAGAAGAAAGUUAUAGUAAAUAUUUUUAACUCGUUUAGCUUUUGAUGAUAUUUGCCAUAUGUUUGUGUAAGACAUGUUUAACGAGUAGUCUAAGGACAUAUUAUUAUACUUUGUUAUACAAAAUAGGCAUAAAAUUUUGAAACUUUCAGCUUCACUUUUUCAUUGUUUCAAUAUUAACCCAAAUUUAGACUCUCCACCAUUUUCUCAUAAAAAAGUAUGUUCAGUUUUUACCCCAGGUAGACCGAAACCACCAAAAAAUUGAUGUUACUUAAGUUUUUAAGUAUUAAGAAAAUGCGUUUCAUCAGAUACACAAAAUAAUAAUAAAAACUUUACUAUUAAACCAAAGUUUUAGUUAAAAUAAAAACAAAAUGUUUGCUUUCUGUGUAGAGUUACAAAAAUCAGUUGAAAUGCUAUUUAAUUUCGUAUUAUUUCCUGGUGAUCCUCUGCCAUACUAAUUUUACAUUGUUCUUACAUGCAAGCAUUUGUAAAUUAAUUUACCAUUAAAGGGCGGCCAAAGGUAUAUUCAUAUUAAAUGGGUGGUUGUAGUUUUGUAUAUUUUAUUUUCAUUUGUAUUAUUUUUAUUUUAGUUUUGUGAUAUUUUUAAGAACAAAUAAAAUAAUUAUAAUUA
rnacentral:lncRNA from 1 species